GGGGGCGGGGGGGGCUAUACAUGCAGUCGAACGCUUCUUUUUCCACCGGAGCUUGCUGCCACGCGGAAAGAAGAGGAGUGGCGAACGGGUGAGUAACACGUGGGUAACCUGCCCAUCAGAAGGGGAUAACACUUGGAAACAGGUGCUAAUACCGUAUAACAAUCGAAACCGCAUGGUUUUGAUUUGAAAGGCGCUUUCGGGUGUCGCUGAUGGAUGGACCCGCGGUGCAUUAGCUAGUUGGUGAGGUAACGGCUCACCAAGGCGACGAUGCAUAGCCGACCUGAGAGGGUGAUCGGCCACAUUGGGACUGAGACACGGCCCAAACUCCUACGGGAGGCAGCAGUAGGGAAUCUUCGGCAAUGGACGAAAGUCUGACCGAGCAACGCCGCGUGAGUGAAGAAGGUUUUCGGAUCGUAAAACUCUGUUGUUAGAGAAGAACAAGGAUGAGAGUAACUGUUCAUCCCUUGACGGUAUCUAACCAGAAAGCCACGGCUAACUACGUGCCAGCAGCCGCGGUAAUACGUAGGUGGCAAGCGUUGUCCGGAUUUAUUGGGCGUAAAGCGAGCGCAGGCGGUUUCUUAAGUCUGAUGUGAAAGCCCCCGGCUCAACCGGGGAGGGUCAUUGGAAACUGGGAGACUUGAGUGCAGAAGAGGAGAGUGGAAUUCCAUGUGUAGCGGUGAAAUGCGUAGAUAUAUGGAGGAACACCAGUGGCGAAGGCGGCUCUCUGGUCUGUAACUGACGCUGAGGCUCGAAAGCGUGGGGAGCAAACAGGAUUAGAUACCCUGGUAGUCCACGCCGUAAACGAUGAGUGCUAAGUGUUGGAGGGUUUCCGCCCUUCAGUGCUGCAGCUAACGCAUUAAGCACUCCGCCUGGGGAGUACGACCGCAAGGUUGAAACUCAAAGGAAUUGACGGGGGCCCGCACAAGCGGUGGAGCAUGUGGUUUAAUUCGAAGCAACGCGAAAAACCUUACCAGGUCUUGACAUCCUUUGACCACUCUAGAGAUAGAGCUUCCCCUUCGGGGGCAAAGUGACAGGUGGUGCAUGGUUGUCGUCAGCUCCUGUCCUGAAAAUGUUGGUUUAAUUCCCGCAACGAGCGCAACCCUUAUUGUAAGUUGCCAUCAUUUAAUUGGGCACUCUAACAAAACUGCCCGUGACAAACCCGAAGAAAGUGGGGAUGACGUCAAAUCAUCAUGCCCCUUAUGACCUGGGCUACCCCCUUCCUACAAUGGGAAAUAAAACGAAUCCCAAAAUCCCCGAGGUAAGCUAAUCCCCUAAAACUUCCCCCAGUUCGGAUUUGAAGCUUCCACUUCCCCUACAUGAACGCGAAUAUCUUAAAAUUCCGGAAUAAACAACCCCCCCGUGAAAACCUGUCCCCGGCCCUUUGCAACACAGGCCAGUCACCCACGCAAGAUUUAUUACCCCCGAAAUUUGGGAAGAGACCUUUUUUGACCCACCCCCUUAAAUGAAGGAAAAUUAAUGGGGGGGAAGGAGUUAAACAAGGGAAAGGAUAAGGAAGGGAAGGGAAGGAGAGAAAGGGAAAAA
rnacentral:rRNA from 1 species